AAUAGAUACCCUGGUAGUCCACGCUGUAAACGAUGGGCACUAGGUGUGGGGGGGUGUCGACUCCCUCCGUGCCGAAGCUAACGCAUUAAGUGCCCCGCCUGGGGAGUACGGCCGCAAGGCUAAAACUCAAAGGAAUUGACGGGGGGCCCGCACAAGCAGCGGAGCAUGUGGUUUAAUUCGACGCAACGCGAAGAACCUUACCUGGGCUUGACAUGUUCCUGACCGUCCUGGAAACAGGGCUUCCCUUCGGGGCAGGAUCACAGGUGGUGCAUGGCUGUCGUCAGCUCGUGUCGUGAGAUGUUGGGUUAAGUCCCGCAACGAGCGCAACCCCCGUCGCAUGUUGCCAGCAUUAAGUUGGGGACUCAUGCGAGACUGCCGGUGACAAACCGGAGGAAGGUGGGGAUGACGUCAAGUCAUCAUGCCCCUUAUGUCCAGGGCUACACACGUGCUACAUUGGCGCGUACAGAGGGCUGCGAUACCGCGAGGUGGAGCGAAUCCCUUAAAGCGCGUCUCGGUUCGGAUUGCNGGCUACG
rnacentral:rRNA from 1 species